AUGAAGUUCAAGCCCAAGCAGACACUGACAUAAACCCUGAAGGGCUUCAAUAAUGAACAGCCUGCCUGUGCUUCCACAGCAAGCAGGAGGAAGAGGGGCCUUUGGUGAGUAGCAGUAGUCCCCAGAGCAAUGGAUUGUCCCAGGAGGAAGGUUGGAGACAGAGUAGGAGCCUGGCUGUGGUGCUGUGAGGGGGGUUUAUGAAGAGGCUGGAGGGAAAGAAAAAUUAGGCAGACUCCUGGGAAUAUUUGAGCAGACUCAACACUGGAAGCCCAGAACAUAUGUUCAUGUUCUAACAGUCACUGAAAUAUUGGAAGGCUGGGAAGACUCUGUGACUAUAGGAAGGAAGAGAUGGUUCAAAGGAGAUGUAAUAAAGGUUCUUCAGUGACAUUAGCCUGUCCACACAGAGUAUCUAGAAAAACUAAAGUUGGGGUGUUCUCCAACCAAUGGACAGUCCAGGGUCCCUUCCCUCCCAGAUAGCAAUGCCUUGUUUGUGACUACAGCACAGCCCUCUGGGGUGCCUUCCAGUAUA
rnacentral:lncRNA from 1 species